rnacentral:rRNA from 1 species
GCGUGGCAUUAGUUAGUUGGUGAGGUAACGGCUCACCAAGGCAAUGAUGCCUAGGGGUCCUGAGAGGGUUUCCCCCACACUGGUACUGAGACACGGACCAGACUCCUACGGGAGGCAGCAGUAAGGAAUAUUGGGCAAUAGGCGCAAGCCUGACCCAGCCAUGCCGCGUGCAGGAUGACGGCCCUAUGGGUUGUAAACUGCUUUUGUAUGGGAAAAAACUCCCGCACGUGUGCGGGACUGAUUGUACCAUACGAAUAAGCAUCGGCUAACUCCGUGCCAGCAGCCGCGGUAAUACGGAGGAUGCAAGCGUUAUCCGGAUUUAUUGGGUUUAAAGGGUGCGCAGGCGGAUUAGUAAGUCAGUGGUGAAAGCUCCCGGCUCAACCGGGAAAAUGCCAUUGAUACUGUUAAUCUUGAGUACAGUUGAGGUUGGCGGAAUGUAUCAUGUAGCGGUGAAAUGCAUAGAUAUGAUACAGAACACCGAUAGCGAAGGCAGCUUACCAAACUGUAACUGACGCUCAUGCACGAAAGCGUGGGGAGCAAACCAGGAUUAGAUACCCUGGUAGUCCACGCUGUAAACUAUGAUCACUCGCUGUUGGCGAUACACUGUCAGCGGCUUAGCGAAAGUGUUAAGUGAUCCACCUGGGGAGUACGAAUCGCAUGUUGAAACUUCAAGGAAUUGACGGGGGCCCGCCACAAGCGGAGGGAAGCAUGUGGUUUAUUUCGAUGAUACCGCGAAGGAACCUUACCUGGGGCUUAAAUGCAGACGACCUCCCGAGAAAUCGGGACUUCCUUCGGGACGGACUGCAAGGUGCUGCAUGGUGUCGUCAGCUCGUGCCGUUGAGGUGUCGGGUUAAGUCCCAUAACGAGCGCAACCCUUAUCCUUAGUUGCCAACAGGUAAUGCUGGGAACUUCUAAGGAAACUGCCUACGCAAGUAGUGAGGAAGGUGGGGAUGACGUCAAAUCAGCACGGCCCUUAUGUCCAGGGCUACACACGUGCUACAAUGGUCGGUACAGAGGGCAGCUACCUGGCAACAGGAUGCUAAUCUCGAAGCCGUCUCAGUUCGGAUUGGAGUCUGCAACUCGACUCCAUGAAGUUGGAUUCGCUAGUAAUCGCGCAUCAGCCAUG